rnacentral:rRNA from 1 species
UACGAAGGGGGCUAGCGUUGCUCGGAAUUAUUGGGCGUAAAGCGCACGUAGGCGGCUUUGUAAGUCGGAUGUGAAAUCCCUCGGCUUAACCAAGGAAGUGCAUCCGAAACUACAGAGCUUGAGUACUUAAGAGGAUCGCGGAAUUCCCGGUGUAGAGGUGAAAUUCGUAGAUAUCGGGAGGAACACCAGCGGCGAAGGCGGCGACCUGGGUAGAUACUGACGCUGAGGUGCGAAAGCGUGGGGAGCAAACAGG